AUCCAGCGGACGAAUCCCAAAUAGGACGAAACAUGAGUCUUGGAU
rnacentral:hammerhead_ribozyme from 1 species